GCAGGCGCGAAAACUUUGCAAUACACGAAAGUGUGACAGGGUCAUCCCGAGUGCCGACCGCUGAGGUUGGCUUUUACCCAGUCUAGAAAGCUGGGGGAAUAAGGAGAGGGCAAGUCUGGUGUCAGCCGCCGCGGUAAUACCAGCUCUCCGAGUGGUGUGGACGUUUAUUGGGCCUAAAGCAUCCGUAGCUGGCUGAACAGGUCCCCUGUUAAACCCACCGAUUUAAUCGUUGGUCUGCGGGGGAUACUGCUCGGCUAGGGGACGAGAGAGGCAGACGGUAUUCCCGGGGUAGGGGUGAAAUCCUAUAAUCCCGAGAAGACCACCAGUGGCGAAGGCUGUCUGCUAGAACGCGCCCGACGGUGAGGGAUGAAAGCUGGGGGAGCGAACCGGAUUAGAUACCCGGGUAGUCCCAGCUGUAAACGAUGCAGACUAGGUGUUUGGACGGCCACGUGCCGUUCUAGUGCCGCAGGGAAGCUGUUAAGUCUGCCGCCUGGGGAGUACGAUCGCAAGAUUGAAACUUAAAGGAAUUGGCGGGGGAGCAC
rnacentral:rRNA from 1 species